rnacentral:lncRNA from 7 species
GGCUCAGAUGGAAACUGCCCCACAAUUAGCAGUAUUUCUACCCCCUGCAUGCAUUCAGUCUUCAACACGUGCCAUUUGAUUAUAGCCUCAAGCUGGAAAAAUUGAUUACAGAUAAACUGUGCCUGCCACCCAUGCCUUCCCCUGGGACUUCAUCUGCUGCAAUUCUACCAACGUGCUGCUGUCUCCCUAACAGGAAAAGCUCAUGUAUGAACAGUGCUGUUGUAAUAUAUUAAGAGUAGUGGGAAAGGCCGUGGAAGUGAGCCAUAAAUCUGGAGGCCUCCAACAUGACUGGGCCUGCUCACUGACUCCAAGCAUCCAAAGCAAGAGAACUAGAUAACCUCUCAGAGUUCCUCCCAACUCUAACAAUUCUACAACAAAUAGGAAAGGAGAGAGAUCAUUUGCCAAGAAUCAACCUCACCUGCUGCAAAUCUGAGUGGAAGCCUGUGGGGCAAAGAAAGACAACAACAGAGCCUUUCCCCAGGAUGCAAACGCCAUAGAACAGGACAAUAAAAUAAGAACUGACUUACCUCCUUCCAGUGACCAGCAACAGCUCAAAAGGAGUGCAGCCUCCAACAGAUGCAGCUCCUUCGGCUUCUAGUCCUUAAAUGAGUGAGAGGUGGAUCUAAGCUUCACCCAUAUCAAUCACUCAGGUACAUUGAUUGCACCUGAACAACCUGGGUUAGCCAUAGCUGGUGCUCAGCCAUUGCUUCAGGCCCUGACCUGUCAAUUCUACUGCAGAGCCAUUCAGCUGCUGCAUACAGCCCUCCUUCUGACACAACAGGGGCAUUGGACCUAUGUGCAAACCCUACGCUGUUUUCCUAUUAGUCCUUAGGCCACAAAACAUCACAAACAUCCCUUGGAUGCUCAAAAUGUGGUAACUUGGAUAUUAGGAAGAAUUUAUUCUCAGAAAGAGCGGUGAUGCAUUGGCACAGGCUGCCCAGCGAGGUGGUGGGAGGUGUUUAAGGAAAGAGUAGAUGUGGCACUGAGGGACGUGGCCCAGUGGGCAGUGUUAGUAGUAGGUGGGUGGUUGGAUGUUAGAGGUCUUUUCCAACCUUAAUGAUUCUAUGAUUCUAAGAUUCCGAGGCUACGGAAACUGUUUAGCAGGAGAGCAAUGCUGUUGGGAGAAAAAUACAAACACAUUAAUGACAUUCAGCCAAAGGAUUAUCAAAGGCAAGGAACCCAGGGCACUUAUUUAGGAAAUUAUUCAAGGAGGAGACUCUAAGGGAUGUGAAUUCGUGUUUUCCUUCCUGCAUAAUACAGGAGAGCACAGGAAGGCAGCCCUUGAAUUCAUGGGUCAUAACCCUAUCUACCGAACAGCUUGAGUACGAUCAGUUUAAAAUGAGUCUCAGUGCUCUUCUGCUUUUCCCAAGAGCACAGAAAAAUUAAUCUACCACUGAAGUUUCUCUCUGUCUCAAGCUGUAAAAUACAAGUUUGUGCCGAUAAUUAUUUUGACAGCCAUCACACGUGCCUGUUGUGAAGGAUCAGCACAGACAGUUUCCAAUAUGAUGUGAACCUGUGGUAAUGGCUAAUUAGAAUGCAUUACACAGUCAGUCCCUACAGUUCUCUGUUCCUUAAGAAAAUCUGCAUUUCGGAAGAGAGCCUUAUAUUGGAUAUAUAGGGACAAAGUUGCCUGCAGAUUUCCAUUGUGCUACGCCAUACCCAUUUGUACCAAAGCAUUUUCUUCCGUAGCUCACCAAAUAUAGCAGCUUUCUUCAGCACGGGAACAAGAUUCAGAAAAGGCUUUGUCCUCGUUCUCCUUAUAGACAAGCAGGUACAAAAAUACCAAGCAAUACGUAGCAGGAGCAGAAGUGUUAGAGGUUACCUAAGGAAUUUCGUACAAUGCUACUUUGACGUCAGAGUUGUCUCAAAUACUACCUGCUGUCAGUGUAAUAUCUAGAGGGUGAGUAAAUCUGUUUCUCACACAGACUUCUCAAAACCAGACUCAGAAUGAGUUAGAAGCUUUUGAAUAGCACUCUGAUUUCUAAGUUACGUAAGUAUUUGCAAUGUUACCCAGAAUCAGGUUGCACGUGCAGACUAGUUUCAAGCAGCACAAACAUAUCCAUAUUCUUCUGUGCUGGAGGUAUUAAUCCACAUAUGGAUAUUCAAUUACUAUCAGAGCAAACCAUUCACGUGCACUAGAAUCAGAUAAAAAUAUGCAAAGCAGGUGGCUUGAGGCUCAUUUGUACUGAAAUUCCUUCGGCUGUUUGAAGAGACUUUGUAAUGUCAGCAUACUCCCACCUGAGUACAUUCUUUACUGUGAGCAGAGUAAAGCGGCCUUCUUGUAUGUGAAAGUUAGAUCUGAAUAUGUUCGCUUCAAGGAUACAGGAUUUUUGUUUCAAGAUAAAAAUGACCAAAUAGGUAAAAUAACCUAAUUAUUGCCUUUCUUUCAAGGACUCAAGGAACUUAUACAGUGAGAAUCUGUGAAAAAUAAAUGGAAACCUGGAU